CAGAGCGUAGCUAAAAUAGUAUAGCACCUCCCUUACACCGAGAAGGUACCCGUGCAAGUCGGGUCGCACUGA
rnacentral:tRNA from 1 species